rnacentral:lncRNA from 1 species
AGAAGAGCCGAUGCUGACGUCAAAGAACAGAGAGUUACACAAAGGUGUGUGGGCUUUUCACUGAUGUUGACAAAGAGAAUCAACGGAACAUGAUGAAGGCCCAGAAACAAACAAAUAUGUGUGUACAUACAUAUAGAGACAGAGAGAGAGAGAGACAGAGAGGGAAAUGGUUCAUUUUAUGUGUCAACUUGCCCUGGUUCUCAGGCCUUCAGACAGGCUGGGAUGUCACCAUUGACUACCCUGGUUCUUGGGCCUUCGGGCUUGGACUGGACCUACCCCACCAGCUUUCCUGGGCCUCCCACUUGCAGAUGGCAGAUGGAGGGAUUUCUCAGUCUCCAUAAUCAGACUAGAGGAAGGAGCGGAAGCAGAGUUGGUCUGAGAAAGCGGGGCUGACGAGGGCAGCAAGUUUCCGUGACAGAUCAAGCUUCUUCAGAAGAACAGGAGUGUAAGAACACUUGAGCUAGGACAUCACAUCCAGGGCACCAUGCAGGUGUGAAAAUGAUGCUUCCCUUGGGAAAGGAGAAGACGGCCAUGAUGCCGUAAAGAAGAUGGAGGAAAUGACACAGGCAAAUCUGGAACCCUGACCACUGUCACACAGAGCCUAGGUGGCAGCAAGCCUGGGUCACCUUUAGAGAGACCAUGGAGGGAAGUCCCAGGACUCCGGGCAGUUUCCAAGGCCAGCAACUGAUCACAGAUUUCUUCCCAUUGGCUGGAAGUAUAAUAAACACACGUUACAGCCUGACUGACUCCAGAGAGAAUCCUCUAACGGUUCAGGGGAAAGAGGAGAAAAUGCAGCUCUUUGCCCUUUUCCCUCCCUCUUAGCAUGAGUCGAAUGCUAACCUGAAAGCAGCUUUGAAGGUGGACUGGACAUGCUUUCUCUUAGACAAGGCGGCACAGUGACAGCAGGACAUGGACGAAGAGGGGGGAGGGCAGCGCAUGUGUGGUGGCCGUUAUCCCUCCAUCUGAAAUGUCGCUGAGGACGCCGGCCUAAACAGCAAAAGCCACACGCAGUCAUCGUUUUAACAGCACAUGGGUUUCUAGUCACUUAACUUUCAAUCAACACUCACUGAAAACUGGCAUUAUGCUAAGUUCUGUGGAUACAACAGAGGACAAACCAGAGCUCCUGGUCCUUCAGACUUUUCAUUUCAGGGCAGGGGGCAGGUUGGGGAUGGAGGGAGAGAUAACAGACAAGUAAAUAAACAAACAAGAUAAUUUCAAGAACUCAUAAGAGUUAUGAUAAUGAUAAACCAGGGUAAUGUGAUAGAGAGUGACCGGAGGCAGGGUUAGUUUAGGUCAGUGUUGGCCAACACAGUAACCAUGAGUCACAUGUGGCUCUCAUGACUAGUUGAGCUUACCUGCAAGAGAUGUGCUGGAUUUCGAAGACUUAGCGUGAGAAAAAGAAUGUCCAACCUCUCCUUGAUAUUUCUAUACUAAUUGUAUGUUGAAAUGAUAGUAUUUUGGAUAUAUUAGAUUAAAUAAAAAUAUUAUUAUAAUGAA